rnacentral:tRNA from 1 species
AAUGAUAUGCCUGAAUAAAGGAUUAUUUUGAUAGAAUAAAUUAUGUAUAGUAUACCCUAUACUUUCAUUA